CCUACGGGAGGCAGCAGUGAGGAAUAUUGGUCAAUGGGCGGAAGCCUGAACCAGCCAAGUAGCGUGCGGGAUGAAGGCCCUACGGGUCGUCAACCGCUUUUGCACGGGGAUAACACCCUCCACUUGUGGAGGUCUGCAGGUACCGUGCGAAUAAGGGACGGCUAAUUCCGUGCCAGCAGCCGCGGUAAUACGGAAGGCCCGAGCGUUAUCCGGAUUCAUUGGGCUUAAAGGGAGCGUAGGCGGUCGUUCAAGUCAGCUGUAAAAUCGCGGGGCUCAACCGCGCCCCGCAGUUGACACUGGACGCCUUGAGUUCACGACAGGCAGGCGGAAUUCGUGGUGUAGCGGUGAAAUGCAUAGAUAUCACGAGGAACCCCGAUUGCGAAGGCAGCCUGCCGGGGUGCGACUGACGCUGAGGCUCGAAGGUGCGGGUAUCAAACAGGAUUAGAUACCCUAGUAGUC
rnacentral:rRNA from 1 species